rnacentral:rRNA from 1 species
AUGGCGAGCGACGGCGCGGUGGCCACGCCGGCGAAGGUGACCCCGAAGAAGGCCAACCUCCUCGACCCCCACUCCAUCAAACACCUCCUCGACGAGACCGUCGCCGAGGUCGUGAAGGGCAAGGGCUAUGUGGAGAACACGCGGCUGGGCAACUGGAAGCUCCUGAUCGGGACGGCCGUGAUAGCCAUCGCGCUCCUCGCGCAGUUCUACCCGAAGAAGUUCCCGCAGAACCGCGAGUUCCUUCUCGGUUGCAUCGCGCUGUAUGUGGUGAUGAAUGUGGUGCUGCUGAUCCUUAGCUACACCAAGGAGAAGGAUGCCAUCAUCUUCACCCACCCUCCUGCUGGUUCUUUCAAUAACACUGGCCUUGUUAUAUCUUCAAAGUUACCAAGAUUCUCGGACAUGUACAAUCUUUCAAUAGCCAGCGCAGAUCCAGAGUCUAUCUCUGCUCACAAGCCCGUCCACUUCACUAAGAGUGUUACAAAAUGGUUUACAAAGGAAGGUGUUCUUGUGGAGGGCCUGUUCUGGAAGGAUGUUGAGAGACUCAUUGAUGACUACAACAACGAGCGCAAGAGCAAAUGA